rnacentral:lncRNA from 1 species
GAAACAUACACAAACGGCUUACACGAAGGUAAGCAAUAGCCAUUAGUGAAAGAAAAAGGAAACUAAACAUUCACAAGUAAUAUGAUUCAUUUUAGAUCAUAUACAUUGCAUCCAUCUCUUACAUUUAGGAUUCUUUGCAUUUCAUUACAUAAUUUCAUCAUUUCUUUCUUACAUCACAUAUACCUCAAAAUAAGCUUUACAUUCUUUUCCUUGCUCUAUACAUUAACAUCUUGAAUCAUCAAAUACAAAAGAUGAUAAAAGGGAUAACUGCUAACAAAAUGUAACCC